CUUAUACAGAACAUGCCUUACAGUUAAGGAACUGACUGAGGAACGAAAUGUGGAGAAUCAGUUCAAGGUCCUGUAAUAUGCAAGUGGUGUUCCUGUCCAGUCUGGCCCAGAUGGCAGUUUCCUGUACAGAUCUCAGACCAGGCUGCGAGGUUUAUCGUCACUAAACAAAAAAUAAGGCAUAAUUAGUAACACAAGACCGAUGAUCUUAAUGCUUCUC